rnacentral:rRNA from 1 species
CCUACGGGUGGCAGCAGUGAGGAAUAUUGGUCAAUGGACGAGAGUCUGAACCAGCCAAGUAGCGUGAAGGAUGACUGCCCUAUGGGUUGUAAACUUCUUUUAUAUGGGAAUAAAAUGUUCCACGUGUGGGAUUUUGUAUGUACCAUAUGAAUAAGGAUCGGCUAACUCCGUGCCAGCAGCCGCGGUAAUACGGAGGAUCCGAGCGUUAUCCGGAUUUAUUGGGUUUAAAGGGAGCGUAGGUGGAUUGUUAAGUCAGUUGUGAAAGUUUGCGGCUCAACCGUAAAAUUGCAGUUGAAACUGGCAGUCUUGAGUACAGGAGAGGUGGGCGGAAUGCGUGGUGUAGCGGUGAAAUGCUUAGAUAUCGCGAAGAACUCCGAUUGCGAAGGCAGUUCACUGGACUGCAACUGACACUGAGGCUCGAAAGUGUGGGUAUCAAACAGGAUUAGAUACCCUUGUAGUC